UCUCUCGUAGCAUAAAAGUGAUGCGAGCGGCUGAUAACCGCUAGAAGAAGGUGCGAUACCUUCCGGGAGGACCA
rnacentral:tRNA from 1 species